rnacentral:rRNA from 1 species
GACGAACGCUGGCGGCGUGCUUAACACAUGCAAGUCGAACGGAAAGGCCCUGCUUUUGUGGGGUGCUCGAGUGGCGAACGGGUGAGUAACACGUGAGUAACCUGCCCUUGACUUUGGGAUAACUUCAGGAAACUGGGGCUAAUACCGGAUAGGAGCUCCUGCUGCAUGGUGGGGGUUGGAAAGUUUCGGCGGUUGGGGAUGGACUCGCGGCUUAUCAGCUUGUUGGUGGGGUAGUGGCUUACCAAGGCUUUGACGGGUAGCCGGCCUGAGAGGGUGACCGGACAAGUGUGGGCGGGGAUAACGGUAGGGCGACGGAGGGAGGCAGGAGGGGGAGGAAGAGAGGGGCGGGAGGAGACGUGUGGAAACAACGGCGGGGGCGGAGUGCGGGCAGUGGGGUUGUAAACGGAUAUGGACGGUGAGGAAGGGGGAGUGCAGGUAAGGGAUAAAGAAGCACCGGCUAACGAGGUGCAGGGAGACGGGGAAAUAGGGGCAAAGAACACGGCGUAAC